rnacentral:rRNA from 1 species
AGAGUUUGAUCAUGGCUCAGAAUGAACGCUGGCGGCGUGCUUAACACAUGCAAGUCGCACGAGAACUCUUCUGCUUGCAGAAGAUAGUAAAGUGGCGCACGGGUGAGUAACGCGUGGGUAAUCUACCUCUGAAUUGGGGAUAACAUUGUGAAAGCGAUGCUAAUACCGAAUAAUAUCCCGAGAACUUAGGCUUUUGGGAUCAAAGGUGGCCUCUACAUGUAAGCUACUGUUUAGAGAUGAGCCCGCGUACCAUUAGCUUGUUGGUAGGGUAAUGGCCUACCAAGGCAACGAUGGUUAGCUGGUCUGAGAGGAUGAUCAGCCACACUGGAACUGACACACGGUCCAGACUCCUACGGGAGGCAGCAGUGAGGAAUUUUGCGCAAUGGGGGAAACCCUGACGCAGCAACGCCGCGUGAGUGAUGAAGGCUUUCGGGUCGUAAAGCUCUGUCAAGUGGGAAGAACCUGCUAUAUGAUAAUACCAUAUKGCACUGACGGUACCACUGAAGGAAGCACCGGCUAACUCCGUGCCAGCAGCCGCGGUAAUA